GGCGGAUGUAGCCAAGUGCAUUAAGGCAGU
rnacentral:tRNA from 1 species